rnacentral:rRNA from 1 species
GACGAACGCUGGCGGCGUGCCUAAUACAUGCAAGUCGAGCGCAGGAAAUCGACGGAACCCUUCGGGGGGAAGUCGACGGAAUGAGCGGCGGACGGGUGAGUAACACGUAAAGAACCUGCCCUCAGGUCUGGGAUAACCACGAGAAAUCGGGGCUAAUACCGGAUGGGUCAUCGGACCGCAUGGUCCGAGGAUGAAAGGCGCUUCGGCGUCGCCUGGGGAUGGCUUUGCGGUGCAUUAGCUAGUUGGUGGGGUAAUGGCCCACCAAGGCGACGAUGCAUAGCCGAGCUGAGAGGGUGAUCGGCCACACUGGGACUGAGACACGGCCCAGACUCCUACGGGAGGCAGCAGUAGGGAAUCUUCCACAAUGGACGAAAGUCUGAUGGAGCAACGCCGCGUGAACGAUGAAGGCCUUCGGGUCGUAAAGUUCUGUUGUAAGGGAAGAACAAGUGCCGCAGGCAAUGGCGGCACCUUGACGGUACCUUGCGAGAAAGCCACGGCUAACUACGUGCCAGCCGCCGCGGUAAUAC